rnacentral:rRNA from 1 species
AUUGAACGCUGGCGGUAGGCCUAACACAUGCAAGUCGAACGGCAGCACAGUUACAGCUUGCUCUUACGGGUGGCGAGUGGCGGACGGGUGAGGAAUACAUCGGAAUCUACUUUUUCGUGGGGGAUAACCUUGGGUAACUUACGCUACUACCGCCUACGACCUACGGGUGAAAGCAGGGGAUCUUCGGACCUUGCGCGAUUGAGUGAGCCGAUGUCGGAUUAGCUAGUUGGCGGGGUAAAGGCCCACCAAGGCGACGAUCCGUAGCUGGUCUGAGAGGAUGAUCAGCCACACUGGAACUGAGACACGGUCCAGACUCCUACGGGAGGCAGCAGUGGGGAAUAUUGGACAAUGGGCGCAAGCCUGAUCCAGCCAUACCGCGUGGGUGAAGAAGGCCUUCGGGUUGUAAAGUGCUUUUGUUGGGAAAGAAAAGCAGCCGGUUAAUACAGCGCUGUUAUGACGGUACCCAAAGAAUAAGCACCGGCUAACUUCGUG